rnacentral:tRNA from 1 species
GCUCCCAUCGUUCAAUGGAUAGGACUGCGGUUUCCGGUACCGCCAAUCAGGGUUCGACUCCCUGUGGGAGUG